rnacentral:rRNA from 1 species
UACCAGCACCCCGAGUGGUCGGGACGAUUAUUGGGCCUAAAGCAUCCGUAGCCGGUUCUUUAAGUCCUCCGUUAAAUCCAUCUGCUUAACAGAUGGGCUGCGGAGGAUACUAUAGAGCUAGGAGGCGGGAGAGGCAAGCGGUACUCAGUGGGUAGGGGUAAAAUCCGUUGAUCCAUUGAAGACCACCAGUGGCGAAGGCGGCUUGCCAGAACGCGCUCGACGGUGAGGGAUGAAAGCUGGGGGAGCAAACCGGAUUAGAUACCCGGGUAGUCCCAGCUGUAAACGAUGCAGACUCGGUGAUGAAUAGGCUUAGUGCCUAUUCAGUGCCGCAGGGAAGCCGUUAAGUCUGCCGCCUGGGGAGUACGGUCGCAAGACUGAAACUUAAAGGAAUUGGCGGGGAGCACAGCAACGGGAGGAGCGUGCGGUUU